GACGAACGCUGGCGGCGUGCUUAACACAUGCAAGUCGAACGCUGAAGCUUGGUGCUUGCACUGGGUGGAUGAGUGGCGAACGGGUGAGUAACACGUGAGUAACCUGCCCUUAACUCUGGGAUAAGCCUGGGAAACUGGGUCUAAUACCGGAUAGGAGCGUCCACCGCAUGGUGGGUGUUGGAAAGAUUUAUCGGUUUUGGAUGGACUCGCGGCCUAUCAGCUUGUUGGUGAGGUAAUGGCUCACCAAGGCGACGACGGGUAGCCGGCCUGAGAGGGUGACCGGCCACACUGGGACUGAGACACGGCCCAGACUCCUACGGGAGGCAGCAGUGGGGAAUAUUGCACAAUGGGCGCAAGCCUGAUGCAGCGACGCCGCGUGAGGGAUGACGGCCUUCGGGUUGUAAACCUCUUUCAGUAGGGAAGAAGCGAAAGUGACGGUACCUGCAGAAGAAGCACCGGCUAACUACGUG
rnacentral:rRNA from 1 species